GACAUUUGGUGCGUGUGCUUGGCUGAGGAGCCAAUGGUGCGAAUAACCAUCCGUGGGAUUAUGACUGAACGCCUCUAAGUCAGAAUCCCGCCUAGACGCAGCGAUACCAUAGCGCCGCGGAUCUUCGGUUGGUCUCGGGUAGCCGGCCCCCGGGUCGGUGAGGAGAGCCGCUCGCGACGGGGCUGGGGCGCGGCCGGACGAUGGCCGCCCCUCUCCCACCGCGCACCGCAUGUUUGUGGAGAACCUGGCGCUAAAUCACUUGCAGACGACCUGAUUCUGGGUCAGGGUGUCGUACGUAGCAGAGCAGCUCCUUCGCUGCGAUCUAUUGAAAGUCACCCCUCGAUCCAAGCUUUUGU
rnacentral:ncRNA from 1 species